CGGAGUCCGCGCUUGGCCCGGGAGUGGCAGCCCGAUUGUCCGAGGAUUAAAAAGUAAGCAGCAUUGUUUGUUGGAGAGCCCUACAGGAAGUGGGAAAAGCUUAGUCUUACUUUGUGCUGCUUUAGCGUGGCAACAGUCUCUUCUUCGUGCCAGCGGAUGAAAGCUUAAGCGAAAAAGCUGAAGUGCCGUUGUCACGUCGUUGUACGUGCCACUCAAAGAGUGUUACAAACGAUGGCGAGGACCGAGGAGCUUCACGUCAUUUCAACAGUCCAAGUACACCACCUUCUGAAAGAAAUGGCACUUCAUCAACUUGUCAAGACUCUCCUGAAAAAAAACUAUACUGGCUGCAAAGCUAUCUGCCAAUAAACAGGUAUCCAUAUGGAGAGAUGAAAAUGGUGAUUUUCAAGUAGAGAAGAAUUCAACCCUUAUAAACUACACAGUAGGUAAACAGAAUUUGUUGGCAGUGAAAUAUUCCCAUUAGUUCUAGUAGAACAA